UGCAUUUCUCCUUCAGCUCUGGACUGGAAACGCAAAGCAGACGCUGGUUUGUCAGAUGCCAGUCCUCCAUGACAUCCUUUCAUGCAAUCCUUCAAGAGCAACCUCUCUGGAAUGAAAUAUCUGACACCUUUGCAUGAUUAGAAAAAUGUUUUCAUCUCCUUCAGAUGUCUGAGUUUAGCAGAUUUCACCGCUAAGAUCCCUCACAAGAUCCCAACGGACUGCCCAUGCGAGAAGAACAGAUUGAGGAAGUGGAGGUGAGCUCUAUCGUCCAGGAGGCCGACCGAGUGCAGAUGCUCCUGAUCAGGACGGUGUGAAGCUGUGACAGGCUUAAGAGCGGCGAGCUGCCACUCACACACACACACACACACACACACACCUGCAGGCCCCGCUCUACCUGACAGCGCUCUGCAGAUGGGCCAGUCCCUCAGGUGGAGCCCGCCAAACACUUGCCAUUAAUCAUUGCAUAAACCUCGCCCAGAGGGAGAACUCGAGGUUAGCCAUCAUUUGGAGCUAAAUUGAGUGAAAAAUAGCUCUGGCAAUGGGACGACUGUGUCACCGUCCCCUGAGGGCCCCCGCCAAGUGUGAAAACAGCUCUAUCCAAGCAGCUAAGUAAUCUGUCAGUUAGUAAAAGACAUCAUAAUUCAUUUAGCCUAAUAAAGCCAAGAGUGAUCACAGACGUGUCUGUUUGCUCUCGGAUCUUACAGCAUUUAUCUUCUUUAUUUUCCUGCAUGUCCUUUGACAGCACUCGUUCUCAGAUGAAUAAUCUCAGUUGAUGUACGACUU